rnacentral:rRNA from 1 species
UGGGGAAUAUUGGACAAUGGGGGCAACCCUGAUCCAGCGAUGCCGCGUGGGUGAAGAAGGCCUUCGGGUUGUAAAGCCCUUUAGGUUGGGAAGAAGGUGUGGAGAGGAAAUGCUUCAUGCUUGACUGUACCGACAGAAUAAGCACCGGCAAACUCUGUGCCAGCAGCCGCGGUAAUACAGAGGGUGCGAGCGUUAAUCGGAAUUACUGGGCGUAAAGGGCGCGUAGGCGGUUAUUUAAGUGUGAUGUGAAAGCCCCGGGCUUAACCUGGGAAGUGCAUCGCAAACUGAGUAGCUAGAGUAUAAGAGAGGGUGGCGGAAUUUCCGGUGUAGCGGUGAAAUGCGUAGAGAUCGGAAGGAACGUCGAUGGCGAAGGCAGCCACCUGGCUUAAUACUGACGCUGAGGCGCGAAAGCGUGGGGAGCGAACAG